rnacentral:misc_RNA from 1 species
GUGGAAGAAGAAAAUAACCGGCAAGCCAGUACCAGCUCCAUCAUCAGUAGUGGUGGUAGGGGUGUAGAGGCGGAACCAAAGGUUUCGAGCUUUGUCAAUGGUGAUAUCAGUGGUUUUGACACCAUUGAUGGGUUUCUUAGACGGAGAGGUUCUGAGGUCAAAAAAGUUCAUAAGAAAGCGGUUGACGGUGCCAUUAGAGCGACGGGUGACGUCAAAGGAGAAGGAGAGAGCCGAUAAGAAGAGGUUAACAUUCCAUGGGAGGUGAUCCGGCCACUGUGGAUCAUCGUUUUGAGCCAUUUUCGUCUCUCUUGGAUGAGUAACAGGAGGUGAAUGCAAACGGGGUGAAUUGAAGCUGAGGUGGAAAGGUUUUGGACGCUUGUUGAGAUUCUUGGCAGGGCAGAGGCAUGGGGCGCGAGUUUGCCUGGCAUGCACAGUGGGAUACAAUUUAAAAUGGCGCCCAGCUGCAUUUUUUUCCAUGUGGCGCGAUUAAAACUUGCGUCCAGCUUGGGAUGCUGUUAUGAAUAGCGCUCUAAUGUAGUCGUCAAUCAGUUGUCAGGCGCAGAAACGAGAUGCAGACACAGAAAAUCUUCCUAUGCAGGCAGAAGGAACAUGGGCACCAUUAUAAGUAGCGUCCCAUGUUUUGCCAUUAAUUUAAAAUUAAAGCAUGUUAACCUACCAGCCCCAUUAUCACUCAACUCUCCCACAACCCUCACACAACCUUCUGAAAUUCAGCCGAAUGAUAUCAUAAGCUUUCAUCUCUCACUUUCUCAGUGGUGUUUGAAAGCAGUGGAAGAAGGUGGUAUACGUGAAAGAAGUGUGAAGUUUUGGUAGAAGUGUGUUAUUUUGGUG